GCACAAGCAGUGGAGUAUGUGGUUUAAUUCGAAGCAACGCGAAGAACCUUACCAGGUCUUGACAUCCGAUGCAUAGCACAGAGAUGUGUGAAAUCCUUCGGGACAUCGAGACAGGUGGUGCAUGGUUGUCGUCAGCUCGUGUCGUGAGAUGUUGGGUUAAGUCCCGCAACGAGCGCAACCCUUAUUGCCAGUUACUACGCAAGAGGACUCUGGCGAGACUGCCGUUGACAAAA
rnacentral:rRNA from 1 species